rnacentral:rRNA from 1 species
UGGGGAAUUUUGGACAAUGGGCGCAAGCCUGAUCCAGCCAUGCCGCGUGCGGGAAGAAGGCCUUCGGGUUGUAAACCGCUUUUGUCAGGGAAGAAAUCUUCUGAGUUAAUACCUCGGGAGGAUGACGGUACCUGAAGAAUAAGCACCGGCUAACUACGUGCCAGCAGCCGCGGUAAUACGUAGGGUGCAAGCGUUAAUCGGAAUUACUGGGCGUAAAGCGUGCGCAGGCGGUUUUGUAAGACAGAGGUGAAAUCCCCGGGCUCAACCUGGGAACUGCCUUUGUGACUGCAAGGCUUGAGUGCGGCAGAGGGGGAUGGAAUUCCGCGUGUAGCAGUGAAAUGCGUAGAUAUGCGGAGGAACACCGAUGGCGAAGGCAAUCCCCUGGGCCUGCACUGACGCUCAUGCACGAAAGCGUGGGGAGCAAACAGGAUUAGAUACCCUGGUAGUCCACGCCCUAAACGAUGUCAACUGGUUGUUGGGAAGGUUCCUUCUCAGUAACGUAGCUAACGCGUGAAGCUGACCGCCUGGGGAGUACGGCCGCAAGGUU